rnacentral:rRNA from 1 species
GUGAGGAAUAUUGGUCAAUGGACGAGAGUCUGAACCAGCCAAGUCGCGUGAAGGAAGACGGUUCUAUGAAUUGUAACCUUCUUUUGUGCAGGAAUAAAGUGGGUUACGUGUAACCUUUUGUAUGUACUGUACGAAUAAGGAUCGGCUAACUCCGUGCCAGCAGCCGCGGUAAUACGGAGGAUCCGAGCGUUAUCCGGACUUAUUUGGUUUAACGGGUGCGUAGGUGGAUUGAUAAGGCAGCGGUGAAAGUUUGCAGCUUAACUGUAAAAGUGAGGUUGAAACUGUCGGUCUUGAGUGCAAAUGAGGUAGGCGGAAUGUGUUGUGUAGCGGUGAAAUGCUUAGAUAUAACACAGAACUCCGAUUGCGAAGGCAGCUUACUGGGAUGCAACUGACACUGAUGCACGAAAGCGUGGGUAUCAAACAGGAUUAGAAACCCCAGUAGUCC